GGAUAGAUGAUGAGUACAAGUGUCUGAGGAUGCUAAGCAAUUCAUACAAUUAUCAAUCUGAGGUUC
ensembl:snoRNA small nucleolar RNA SNORD109A